UGGGGAAUUUUGGACAAUGGGGGCAACCCUGAUCCAGCAAUGCCGCGUGUGCGAAGAAGGCUUUCGGGUUGUAAAGCACUUUUGGCGGGAGCGAAACGGCUUGGGUUAAUACCUCGGGCUAAUGACGGUACCCGCAGAAUAAGCACCGGCUAACUACGUGCCAGCAGCCGCGGUAAUACGUAGGGUGCAAGCGUUAAUCGGAAUUACUGGGCGUAAAGCGAGCGCAGGCGGUUAUGUAAGACAGAUGUGAAAUCCCCGGGCUUAACCUGGGAACUGCAUUUGUGACUGCAUAGCUAGAGUGUGUCAGAGGGGGGUGGAAUUCCACGUGUAGCAGUGAAAUGCGUAGAGAUGUGGAGGAACACCGAUGGCGAAGGCAGCCCCCUGG
rnacentral:rRNA from 1 species